CCUUGAACGAGCGCAACCCACGUCGUAUUUGCCACGGAGCAAUCCAGCUACUAUAACGAUACCGCCGGCGACGAGCCGGAGGAAGGCGGGGACGACGUCAAGUCAUCAUGGCCCUUACGACCAGGGCUACACACGUGCUACAAUGGUCGGUACAAAGGGUUGCUACCUAGCGAUAGGAUGCUAAUCUCAAAAAGCCGAUCGUAGUCCGGAUUGGAGUCUGCAACUCGACUCCAUGAAGUCGGAAUCGCUAGUAAUCGCGGAUCAGAAUGCCGCGGUGAAUACGUUCCCGGGCCUU
rnacentral:rRNA from 1 species